rnacentral:rRNA from 1 species
AUUGAACGCUGGCGGCAGGCCUAACACAUGCAAGUCGAACGAGUGGCGGACGGGUGAGUAAUGUCUGGGAAACUGCCCGAUGGAGGGGGAUAACUACUGGAAACGGUAGCUAAUACCGCAUACCAUCGGAUGUGCCCAGAUGGGAUUAGCUCGUAGGUGGGGUAACGGCUCACCUAGGCGACGAGCCCUAGCUGGUCUGCGCGGAUGACCAGCCACACUGGACAUGAGACACGGUCCAGAUUCCUACGGAAGGAAGCAGUGGGGAAUAUUGCACAAUGGGCGCAAGCCUGAGGCAGCCAGGCCGCUGGUAUGAAGAAGGCCUUCGGUUUGUAAAGUACUGUCAGCGAGGAGGCGUUACUCGCAGAAGAAGCACCGGCUAACUCCGUGCCAGCCGCCGCGGUAAUAC